UACAGAGGGGGCAAGCGUUGUUCGGAAUUACUGGGCGUAAAGGGCGCGUAGGCGCCUUCUAAGUCGAACGUGAAAUCCCCGGGCUCAACCCGGGAACUGCGUCCGAUACUGGAAGGCUUGAAUCCGGGAGAGGGAUGCGGAAUUCCUGGUGUAGCGGUGAAAUGCGCAGAUAUCAGGAGGAACACCGGUGGCGAAGGCGGGUCUCUGGGCAACAACUGACGCUGGAGGAGCGAAAGCGUGGGGAGCGAACAGG
rnacentral:rRNA from 1 species